rnacentral:rRNA from 1 species
ACACGACUACAUUAGAUACCCCUGUAGUCCUAGCCGUAAACGAUACUCGCUAGGUGUCGGCCACGGUGCGACCGUUGUCGGUGCCGUAGGGAAGCCGUGAAGCGAGCCACCUGGGAAGUACGGCCGCAAGGCUGAAACUUAAAGGAAUUGGCGGGGGAGCACAACAACGGGUGGAGCUUGCGGUUUAAUUGGAUUCAACGCCGGAAAUCUUACCGGGACCGACAGCAGCAUGAAGGCCAAGCUGAAGACUUUGCCGGAUUAGCUG